GAUGAACGCUGGCGGCGUGCUUAACACAUGCAAGUCGAACGAUGAAGCCCAGCUUGCUGGGUGGAUUAGUGGCGAACGGGUGAGUAACACGUGAGUAACCUGCCCUUAACUCUGGGAUAAGCCUGGGAAACUGGGUCUAAUACCGGAUAGGAGCGUCCACCGCAUGGUGGGUGUUGGAAAGAUUUAUCGGUUUUGGAUGGACUCGCGGCCUAUCAGCUUGUUGGUGAGGUAAUGGCUCACCAAGGCGACGACGGGUAGCCGGCCUGAGAGGGUGACCGGCCACACUGGGCCUGAGACACGGCCCAGACGCCUACGGGAGGCAGCAGGGGGGAAUAUUGCACAAUGGGCGAAAGCCUGAUGCAGCGACGCCGCGUGAGGGAUGACGGCCUUCGGGUGGUAAACCUCUUUCAGUAGGGAAGAAGCGAAAGUGACGGUACCUGCAGAAGAAGCACCGGCUAACUACGU
rnacentral:rRNA from 1 species